CCGCUUUUUAUGAGUCUGAGGUCCGCCCGCUCGCGCCUGGAGAGGCGUCUCCGCGCGCUCCUUCACCGGCCCCGCGUCCCAAGCCGAUGACGUCUAGGAGGCUCAGAGAGAUCACCCCAGCUCACAGACAGCAGAUCACUGGGCCUCAUUGUGUGCCAGGCACUAGGACUCAGCAGUAAACAGGUCUCCUGAUGGCCUCAGUCAGAGCAAGUUCCCUGGUAUGGCAGCCACUGGCCACGUGUGGCCUUGGAGCCCCUGGUGUGAACGGAGAUGUGCUGUAAGACUUGGUACCCCAAAAGUGUGUAAGCGAUCUCAUUAUAUAUAUAUUUUUUAAUUGAUUGUGUGUUAAAAUUGUAAACCUAAAAGGGGGGUUCUAUGGGAAGUAACCUCACCAGGUGAUCUGAGCGUAAAUUCCUAACUGGGCCAGUCCCGGUGGGUAGUCACAGCUCAGGCCUACAGCUGCUUUACUGAGAGGCUUAUCUUUGCCUUAAGCAAGCUGUGCCUGUUGUGAACACACCUUUGAAAUGGCUCCUUUCUGACCCCUCAAGACAGCACGUAAUCUCAACUAUUCUGUAACCCCGUUCCCAAACUGUCUCCUCCCACCUUCACGUAACCUUCCUCAUAUUCCUUCCUUAAUUUCUAAUGCCUGAAAGAUGCCAAAUUGUUAGUGUCCAGACCAUUUGAGGCCUUCCUCUCUGGCAUGUGUCACCAGUUUGGCUCACAUACAAAAAAAGUCUCUACAAGUUUGAACAUUUCUCGCAUAGACAAAGUGAUCAUAUUUUGGAUAAAUUGAGUUAAAUAAAAAAUAUAACUAAAAUUAAGUUCACCUGUUUCUCUUUA